CAUUAUAUCAAUUUUCGCCGAGCUGAUAACAAUAAAGAUAAAUUAUUUUGAAUCAUUUUUAAACAUUGCAUUUUAACGUUUGUUUUAUUGCUUAUUAUUUCAUUCCUUUGCUGUAUUAUAGGUUUUCACUUAUGGUCCACCUAAUCGCGCAGAACGCAGAGAAACCGAUUCACAGUGGUGGUACUUUGCGAACCACUAGUGGAGGUGGAGGUAUCGUGUUGGGAAUAACCGGCGAAGAUGGUGAUAACUCGACCGAUAAACAUUUAUUUGUGAACCAUUCUGCUAAGCUGGUUAAUAUGUGAUAAGUGUCAGAAAUACUUGCGAGGGCUGAUACAUCAGGGAUCGCUAUGCAAGCAGCUAUGAGAUUACAUAGUGCAUCGACAGUGCUCGGCCACGGGAUUUGAACCGUGCGCAGCGGAAACUGGCAGUCGGACGGUAACGUUGACCAGCUGUAGUCAGCAGGUUUUUGGAAUUGGCAGCUUAAUGUGGCCGAGCUGCCAGCGCCGCAGAUUAUCAUAAUACUUUGCAACGAGCUCGAACAGAAAGCGAUGUGUAACUUGAACCUGGAUCUGUACAACCUGUAUCGAACGACGCCACCGAACUACGACGAGGUUAACAAACUGCGUGACUCACUCAACGAAAAUCUAAUCAACACCGAUCUGAGCAGCGACUCACCGGAGUGUGUAGCCACGGUGCUAAAAAGUUCUUAAGGGAGCUGCCCGAUCCGAUCAUUCCGGCUAUGUAUAACGACAAAUUCGUCGUAAGCCUCAAAAAUUACCAGUGAUGCGUAGCAAUUCGAUUGCAUAUCCAGGAUCUGCCAAUUUACCACAACAUGACGCUCAAGUACAUCAUGAUCCAUCUGAUACGAAUAUGCCGAAUGCAGAGCCAACGGUGACUGAAAGAGAAACCGAUAAGCUGAUACAAGUGUGGUCCCAUAUUCUAAUACGUUUUCCUAGGGAGAAAAUUGUUCAAAUCGUGUGUAACACGGAAUACCACUUGCGAAUAAUGGAACUAUUACUCUAUAAGCUAGACUGGAACGAAAAACUACCAGAAUUUCUGUCUGCUUCUUCAGUACCACCACGGAAAAUCUCCCGAAGUACGGCUGUGUUACAGCAGCAGCAGCAGCAGCAACAACAAAUACCCGGUUCAUCCACUGUUUUACCAACAGCAUAGCCUGCUUCAAAAAGCCUGCGAUCACAUUCCCGGCAUCUGUGAUACAAGCGCCCUUGAUUGGGGUGUAUAAUAAUGCCGGUAGGAAUGACAGUAAUGGAACAAUGGCUGCUGAAAGUCGGGGGAUAGCGUUGAUACGAGCAAGGCGUUGUACUAUAGGCGGACCGCAAUGUCAAAAUUGCUGUUCGGCCAUUGCUCGUGAAAAACAAAUUUGUUUACAAAACAAAUCGUAUUUGAAUCAUUUUUAAACAUUGCAUUUUAACGUUUGUUUUAUUGCUUAUUAUUUCAUUCCUUUGCUGUAUUAUAGGUUUUCACUUAUGGUCCACCUAAUCGCGCAGAACGCAGAGAAACCGAUUCACAGUGGUGGUACUUUGCGAACCACUAGUGGAGGUGGAGGUAUCGUGUUGGGAAUAACCGGCGAAGAUGGUGAUAACUCGACCGAUAAACAUUUAUUUGUGGACCAUUCUGCUAAGCUGGUUAAUAUGUGAUAAGUGUCAGAAAUACUUGCGAGGGCUGAUACAUCAGGGAUCGCUAUGCAAGCAGCUAUGAGAUUACAUAGUGCAUCGACAGUGCUCGGCCACGGGAUUUGAACCGUGCGCAGCGGAAACUGGCAGUCGGACGGUAACGUUGACCAGCUGUAGUCAGCAGGUUUUUGGAAUUGGCAGCUUAAUGUGGCCGAGCUGCCAGCGCCGCAGAUUAUCAUAAUACUUUGCAACGAGCUCGAACAGAAAGCGAUGUGUAACUUGAACCUGGAUCUGUACAACCUGUAUCGAACGACGCCACCGAACUACGACGAGGUUAACAAACUGCGUGACUCACUCAACGAAAAUCUAAUCAACACCGAUCUGAGCAGCGACUCACCGGAGUGUGUAGCCACGGUGCUAAAAAGUUCUUAAGGGAGCUGCCCGAUCCGAUCAUUCCGGCUAUGUAUAACGACAAAUUCGUCGUAAGCCUCAAAAAUUACCAGUGAUGCGUAGCAAUUCGAUUGCAUAUCCAGGAUCUGCCAAUUUACCACAACAUGACGCUCAAGUACAUCAUGAUCCAUCUGAUACGAAUAUGCCGAAUGCAGAGCCAACGGUGACUGAAAGAGAAACCGAUAAGCUGAUACAAGUGUGGUCCCAUAUUCUAAUACGUUUUCCUAGGGAGAAAAUUGUUCAAAUCGUGUGUAACACGGAAUACCACUUGCGAAUAAUGGAACUAUUACUCUAUAAGCUAGACUGGAACGAAAAACUACCAGAAUUUCUGUCUGCUUCUUCAGUACCACCACGGAAAAUCUCCCGAAGUACGGCUGUGUUACAGCAGCAGCAGCAGCAGCAACAACAAAUACCCGGUUCAUCCACUGUUUUACCAACAGCAUAGCCUGCUUCAAAAAGCCUGCGAUCACAUUCCCGGCAUCUGUGAUACAAGCGCCCUUGAUUGGGGUGUAUAAUAAUGCCGGUAGGAAUGACAGUAAUGGAACAAUGGCUGCUGAAAGUCGGGGGAUAGCGUUGAUACGAGCAAGGCGUUGUACUAUAGGCGGACCGCAAUGUCAAAAUUGCUGUUCGGCCAUUGCUCUUGAAAAACAAAUUUGUUUACAAAACACAUCGUAUCUUUUGGUGACGAAUGCAUUCGUUGGCAAAAUAGCUGCUCGCGCUUUACUGUCGAAUCAUAACAGUGCAGAAGGAUGUUUUUAGUAUAUCUUUUCGCUUCAAGCUGAGCAAUCAAUGCCUUCCUUUCCAAGCAAAAUGUACUUAUGUUUAGCUCCCAUCCGCGGGGAAAAUAGUACUAUCAGCUUACGGCGAUGGUGACAAGAAAUAACGUUGAUUGUGGCUCCACUGAUUUCGUUCAGGGAAGAGGAGAAUGCUGUGCAUAUACCGGGAAGGAGAUUAGCAGAUCCAGAAGAUCCGGAAAGUACCGUCACAAGUAAUUGGCUAGAGUAAAGGAGGUUGUGCACUAUUUUUCACGAAUAUAUAUUUGCUUAUUUUUUUUCUUCUGAUAUUUUCCUCACCGAGUUGAUAUGAAACCAUAACCACACACCCAAACCAAAAGUAAAUAAUUCUGAAAGUUACGUCUCGCUACUCAUCUCACGUCAUGUCCUGAAAGUGUCAAAAACGAAACACCUAUCGUUCAGCAUCUUGAAUACGAGCAGUUGAUGAUGCAAACACCAGCUGAGCUGAUGGAUCAAAUCGGCCAAUUCCUUCCUCGAGUUCCAAUUUUAUUUGUAUAGAA